rnacentral:rRNA from 1 species
UACGUAGGGGGCUAGCGUUGUCCGGAAUCAUUGGGCGUAAAGCGCGUGUAGGCGGUCCGGUAAGUCCGCUGUGAAAGUCGGGGGCUCAACCCCCGGAUGCCGGUGGAUACUGUCGGGCUUGAGUACGGAAGAGGCGAGUGGAAUUCCUGGUGUAGCGGUGAAAUGCGCAGAUAUCAGGAGGAACACCAAUUGCGAAGGCAGCUCGCUGGGACGUUACUGACGCUGAGACGCGAAGGCGUGGGGAGCGAACAGG